UUUCGAAUCAUUCACAAUGGGCGAAAGCCUGAUGGUGCGACGCCGCGUGAGGGAUGAAGGUCUUCGGAUUGUAAACCUCUGUCACCGGGGAAGAAACGCUUCAAGCUAACAGUUUGAAGCCUGACUUAACCCGGAGAGGAAGCAGUGGCUAACUCUGUGCCAGCAGCCGCGGUAAUACAGAGACUGCAAGCGUUAUUCGGAUUCACUGGGCGUAAAGGGUGCGCAGGCGGCCGUGUGUGUGAGGCGUGAAAGCCCGGGGCUUAACCCCGGAAUUGCACCUCAAACUACACGGCUAGAGCAUUGGAGAGGGUAGCAGAAUUCACGGUGUAGCAGUGAAAUGCGUAGAUAUCGUGAGGAAUACCAGAGGCGAAGGCGGCUACCUGGACAAUUGCUGACGCUCAGGCACGAAAGCGUGGGGAGCAAAAG
rnacentral:rRNA from 1 species